UACAGAGGUGGCAAGCGUUGUUCGGAAUUACUGGGCGUAAAGGGCGCGUAGGCGGCCUUCUAAGUCAGACGUGAAAUCCCCCGGCUUAACCUGGGAACUGCGUCUGAUACUGGGAGGCUAGAGUGCGGGAGAGGGAUGCGGAAUUCCAGGUGUAGCGGUGAAAUGCGUAGAUAUCUGGAGGAACACCGGUGGCGAAGGCGGCAUCCUGGACCGACACUGACGCUGAGGCGCGAAAGCGUGGGUAGCAAACAGG
rnacentral:rRNA from 1 species